rnacentral:rRNA from 1 species
UAGUCCACACCGUAAACGAUGAGAGCUAGUUGUCUGCAGGCAUGCCUGUAGGUGACGCAGCUAACGCAUUAAGCUCUCCGCCUGGGGAGUACGGCCGCAAGGUUAAAACUCAAAGAAAUUGACGGGGGCCCGCACAAGCGGUGGAGCAUGUGGUUUAAUUCGAUGCAACGCGAAGAACCUUACCUGCCCUUGACAUACUCGGAACUUUCCAGAGAUGGAUUGGUGCCUUCGGGAAUCGAGAUACAGGUGCUGCAUGGCUGUCGUCAGCUCGUGUCGUGAGAUGUUGGGUUAAGUCCCGCAACGAGCGCAACCCUUGUCCUUAGUUGCCAGCACGUAAUGGUGGGAACUCUAGGGAGACUGCCGGUGACGAAACCGGGAGGAAGGUGGGGGACGACGUCAAGUCAUCAUGGCCCUUA